rnacentral:rRNA from 1 species
UACGUAGGGGGCAAGCGUUGUCCGGAUUUACUGGGCGUAAAGAGCGUGUAGGCGGCCAGAUAAGUCCGCUGUGAAAUCUCGAGGCUCAACUUCGAGCUGUCGGUGGAAACUAUCUGGCUAGAGUCCGGAAGAGGAGAAUGGAAUUCCUGGUGUAGCGGUGAAAUGCGCAGAUAUCAGGAAGAACACCCGUGGCGAAGGCGGUUCUCUGGGACGGUACUGACGCUGAGACGCGAAAGCGUGGGGAGCGAACAGG